UACGGAGGGUGCAAGCGUUGUUCGGAAUUACUGGGCGUAAAGCGCGUGUAGGUGGUUCGGUAAGUCGAAUGUGGAAGCCCCGGGCUCAACCCGGGAAGUGCAUCCGAAACUGCCGAACUAGAGUCCCGGAGAGGAAGGCAGAAUUCCCAAUGUAGGGGUGAAAUCCGUAGAUAUUGGGAGGAAUACCGGUGGCGAAGGUGGCCUUCGGGACGGUGAUUGACACUCAGACGCGAAAGCGUGGGGAGCAAACAGG
rnacentral:rRNA from 1 species